GGACUACUGGGGUAUCUAAUCCUGUUUGCUCCCCACGCUUUCGCGCCUCAGCGUCAGUAUCGGUCCAGAGAGCCGCCUUCGCCACCGGUGUUCUUCCCAAUAUCUACGAAUUUCACCUCUACACUGGGAAUUCCACUCUCCUCUCCCGAUCUCCAGCCAGCCCGUCCCGAGCGCGGUUCCCAGGUUGAGCCCGGGGCUUUCACACUCGACAAAGCCGGCCGCCUGCGCGCCCUUUACGCCCAGUGAUUCCGAACAACGCUCGCCCCCUUCGUAUUACCGCGGCGGCUGGCAC
rnacentral:rRNA from 1 species